AUUUUAGUAUAAAUAUAUUCUGUGCAAUAUUUGGGAACUAUUUAUUCUAAAA
rnacentral:pre_miRNA from 1 species